UACGUAGGUGGCAAGCGUUAUCCGGAUUUAUUGGGUGUAAAGGGCGUGUAGGCGGGAAUGCAAGUCAGAUGUGAGAACUAUGGGCUCAACCCAUAGCCUGCAUUUGAAACUGUAUUUCUUGAGUGCUGGAGAGGCAAUCGGAAUUCCGUGUGUAGCGGUGAAAUGCGUAGAUAUACGGAGGAACACCAGUGGCGAAGGCGGAUUGCUGGACAGUAACUGACGCUGAGGCGCGAAAGCGUGGGGAGCAAACAGG
rnacentral:rRNA from 1 species